GAUGAACGCUGGCGGCGUGCCUAAUACAUGCAAGUCGAGCGAACAGACGAGGAGCUUGCUCCUCUGACGUUAGCGGCGGACGGGUGAGUAACACGUGGAUAACCUACCUAUAAGACUGGGAUAACUUCGGGAAACCGGAGCUAAUACCGGAUAAUAUAUUGAACCGCAUGGUUCAAUAGUGAAAGACGGUUUUGCUGUCACUUAUAGAUGGAUCCGCGCCGCAUUAGCUAGUUGGUAAGGUAACGGCUUACCAAGGCGACGAUGCGUAGCCGACCUGAGAGGGUGAUCGGCCACACUGGAACUGAGACACGGUCCAGACUCCUACGGGAGGCAGCAGUAGGGAAUCUUCCGCAAUGGGCGGAAGCUUGACGGAGCAACGCCGCGUGAGUGAUGAAGGUCUUCGGAUCGUAAAACUCUGUUAUUAGGGAAGAACAAAUGUGUAAGUAACUAUGCACGUCUUGACGGUACCUAAUCAGAAAGCCACGGCUAACUACGUG
rnacentral:rRNA from 1 species